UCCUUCAUCGCUUAGUUCUAGUGGUUAGUUACAUUCUUUUUUUUUUGUCUUUUUCUUUUUAGUAGUUAUAUUCUUAAGGAAAUCUUCCCUUAACUGCCGCUUCUAAAUUUGGUGCUCAUUUUCUCUUUUCACACAGCACUGUGUGUAUAUCUCCAGCAUAGCCAUGUCUCCAUCAAUGCUCACAUCUCACCUUCCAGGGAAGAGGAAUCCAGCCAUGAAAAUAUAAUUUCUGUGUAUGAGCAGAUU
rnacentral:lncRNA from 1 species